UGCUAUACAUGCAGUCGAGCGGACAGAAGGGAGCUUGCUCCCGGAUGUUAGCGGCGGACGGGUGAGUAACACGUGGGUAACCUGCCUGUAAGACUGGGAUAACUCCGGGAAACCGGAGCUAAUACCGGAUAGUUCCUUGAACCGCAUGGUUCAAGGAUGAAAGACGGUUUCGGCUGUCACUUACAGAUGGACCCGCGGCGCAUUAGCUAGUUGGUGGGGUAAUGGCUCACCAAGGCGACGAUGCGUAGCCGACCUGAGAGGGUGAUCGGCCACACUGGGACUGAGACACGGCCCAGACUCCUACGGGAGGCAGCAGUAGGGAAUCUUCCGCAAUGGACGAAAGUCUGACGGAGCAACGCCGCGUGAGUGAUGAAGGUUUUCGGAUCGUAAAGCUCUGUUGUUAGGGAAGAACAAGUGCGAGAGUAACUGCUCGCACCUUGACGGUACCUAACCAGAAAGCCACGGCUAACUACGUGCCAGCAGCCGCGGUAAUACGUAGGUGGCAAGCGUUGUCCGGAAUUAUUGGGCGUAAAGGGCUCGCAGGCGGUUUCUUAAGUCUGAUGUGAAAGCCCCCGGCUCAACCGGGGAGGGUCAUUGGAAACUGGGAAACUUGAGUGCAGAAGAGGAGAGUGGAAUUCCACGUGUAGCGGUGAAAUGCGUAGAGAUGUGGAGGAACACCAGUGGCGAAGGCGACUCUCUGGUCUGUAACUGACGCUGAGGAGCGAAAGCGUGGGGAGCGAACAGGAUUAGAUACCCUGGUAGUCCACGCCGUAAACGAUGAGUGCUAAGUGUUAGGGGGUUUCCGCCCCUUAGUGCUGCAGCUAACGCAUUAAGCACUCCGCCUGGGGAGUACGGUCGCAAGACUGAAACUCAAAGGAAUUGACGGGGGCCCGCACAAGCGGUGGAGCAUGUGGGUUUAAUUCGAAGCAACGCCGAAGAACCUUAACCAGGUCNUUGACAUCCUCUGAACACCCCUAGAAGAUAGGGGCUUUCCCUUC
rnacentral:rRNA from 1 species